rnacentral:siRNA from 1 species
CUGGUUCCACAUCAAGUUUAUCAA